GCUCGCUUUGGCAGGGCAUAUACUAAAAUAGCAAUGAUACAGAGAAGAUUAGCAUGGCCCCUGCGCAAGGAUGACACACAAAUACUGUCUCGCUGCCUGUCUCU